GACUUUAAGCUCGUCUUAAUACCUCUUUUCAUGAGCUUUUCAUAUCAGUCUCCUAUUUUUUAAAAAUCUUAUUCGCAAAACAAAUUGUCACUGAGUACCUCUGGCCCUCGAUGUCCCUCUGAUGGUUGAAACUGAAGGUUGCUGUUUUGGCACACAGUUGCGGAGGGGUACUUGUUGGGAUGCUGGCCAGGUGGGUGAGCUGGCCAGUGUGAAGUUUGCCCAGCUGGUGUACUGAGAGCUAUGCCCUAGGUCUUCAAAUGGUGCUGAGACUUCAGGGCAGAAUUCUUCAUGUAGCUCCACUCAGAAAUUUAAUCCAUAGUAUUAGUGACUGUGGUUAGAUAAUGGACUUUAAUAAAAUUGGCAAUUAAUACAUUUCUUAAGCAUCAUGAUAAAUCAGAAUUGUCAUUGACACAUCCAGUGGAUGGUCUGUAGAGGCUGUCAGCUUCUGAACAAUUUACAGCAUAAUGGUGGGCAAAGGUACUGGCUGCUGACAGGAGAAAUCACUUGAAUGGAGGUUUAGUUCCAGUGUCAGGCAGGCUUAAUACUAAGUCCUGUAAGGUCUAGUGCAAAUAGGAACAGCAGAGCAGCACAUAUAGGUCAGACCUGGUUAAAUAUGUAUACCUCUUUGACAUGGACAGCUGCUUACUCUGUCAGUUCGAUGCAAGUUUUCUAAUGCAGGAAGGAAUUGGCAGGUCCACCCAGUACCCUUGAAAUCUAUAUGUGUUCCCAAACAGUUCUUCCUCCCCAGCUCCUACGUGCAAAAUGGAGUGAUCAGCAGCAUGCAGCCUCCUCGUAGGGCCCUGGCACCCGUCCCGGCCGGGCGAGGUGCUGAAGGAAGGACUCCUCUGAAGUAAGUCACUGAGGCUGGGAGUGUCCAGGCCUGUGGUUUUUGAUACUCCCCGUUUUGAAAGGUUUACGUGUGCUGUCAGAGCUGCUCCAUUUCUCAUGCACAGAAGAAAACUGCUUUCAGAAGGCCUUCUCCCAGUGCCUUUGGGGAUUGCACGGUGGGUUAAGGAAGACUAAUAAAUAGGCAGAUUUAACUCAAGAAUUUCCUACUUCCUCCUUGAAAAAUACAGCAAUUAAGCUUGUUAACUUUAUAUAUCAAAGAAAGGAGACUUAACGCUAAAGGAGCAAAGAGAUGCCAGUUCUACGUAUCUGCCUUUAGAGAGUUCUCACUGUUAAACAAAAAGCAAGGUAGCAUCUACCAGGUGCAAGCCUUGGACAUUGACUGUAUAUACAGUUGGGUGCUGGAUGAGAGCAUUGUUUUACUCCCUUUGUUGCCUUCUGAUGUCUGUUGAGCAGUCUCUUGACUGCUUGGUGUAGAUAAUGGUUUUGUUCUGAGAAUCGGAUAUCAAACUGCAACACAACAUCUUGCAAAAGGAACAACCGUAUCCCAAUAGAGAAACUUAUCUACAGCUUUGCAGACUUUUAUUUCCUAGCAGAAUUGAAACUUCUUCAAAAA